GCAAGUGUAGCUCAGGUGGUUUAGAGCACCCCACUGAUAAUGGGGAGGUCGAAGGUUCGAGUCCUUCCACUUGCA
rnacentral:tRNA from 1 species